rnacentral:rRNA from 1 species
CACGGAGUUAGCCGGGGCUUAUUCUCCCGGUACAGUCAUUAUCUUCCCGGGUAAAAGAGCUUUACAACCCUAGGGCCUUCAUCACUCACGCGGCAUUGCUGGAUCAGGCUUGCGCCCAUUGUCCAAUAUUCCCCACUGCUGCCUCCCGUAGGAGUCUGGGCCGUGUCUCAGUCCCAGUGUGGCUGAUCAUCCUCUCAGACCAGCUAUGGAUCGUCGGCUUGGUAGGCCUUUACCCCACCAACUACCUAAUCCAACGCGGGCUCAUCCUCAGGCGAUAAAUCUUUGAUCUCGCGAUAUCAUCCGGUAUUAGCAGCCGUUUCCAGCUGUUAUUCCGAACCUGAGGGCAGAUUCCCACGCGUUACGCACCCGUGCGCCACUAUGCCCGAAAGCAUCGUUCGACUUGCAUGUGUUAGGCAUGCCGCCAGCGUUCGUUCUGAGCCAGGAUCAAACUCU